UCCAAGUCCAAUUACUGCCAUAAAUUAUGACUGCUAAUUCAUCCUGGUUUGAAGUUUCAACUUUUUUUCGAUGCUUCAGAGUAUAAUGCAAAUUUCGUUAUUUUCUUUACUUUGCAUAUCUCAGCUCAAUUCACUAAUUCUAUGUUCCUUUCUAACUUCUUGUGUGCCUGCCAUUUGCAGAGCUCGUCGGGAAUUUGGCGGCCUAUAUGCGAAUGGUUGACAUCUGUGGGCGGAGCUUCGCUAUUUCUUGUACGCAAAGUAGGCCCACUAUCAAGAAUCUAAGAGCAUCUUCUUCUUCUUCUUCUUCAAGGAAGUUCAUAAUAAGAAUAGGAUCAAUUAUCUGUAGAAGCUUGUUUUCGUUGUAAGCUUCCCAUGCCUGCAAAAUUUCACACAAACAACAUAAUAUUUAUCUUUAUACAUAAGGUUGUGUCCAAGAACAGAUAAAGGGUCUGCUUUGCCUUCCUAUAUAAACUGCAUUAGGCGGCGCCAAGGUUUCAGGUAGAAGAGAUACAUAACUGAAUAAUCUAAGUAAGCUCGAAAAAUCAAUAAAGAUUACAGUUUCUACCUUCUGAACGAGGAAAUGUUCACCAAGUUCCAAAUCAAAAUCAACAGCUGAUCGUCCGCUGAUAAUUUCCAAUAGCAGUACUCCGAAACUGUAAACAUCCGAUUUUCGUGUCAAAUGACCGCUAAGGGCGUAUUCUGGAGCAAGAUAUCCUCUUUUUUUGCAUAUACAAAUCCAAAACACUCAUCAGCCAUGGCUUUGUCUUUAGCAGUAUAAGCAAAGAAACAAGAAUUUAAAUGCAAAUAAAUUAGUGAAUGAUCAUUACAAUGUUCCAGCAACACGAGUACUGACAUGAGAAGUGUUGUCUCUUAGUAUUCUUGAAAGACCAAAAUCAGCCACUUUUGGUGUAAAAUCUUUAUCAAGAAGAAUGUUGCUAGCUUUGAUAUCUCUAUGCAAAAUGUGGGGUUUGACUUCCUCAUGGAUAUAGGCAAGCCCUCGAGCAACUCCGAAUGAAAUAUUUCGCCUUGCUUCCCAACUGAA